UGGUGGGUCUUUGAAUUUAAAUAAAAUAAACAUGUAUAUGCAACACAAAAUAUUUAUAUUCCUUGUGUAAACAUAAUUUAAUUGAUUAGGAUGAAAAUGUUUUGUUUGAAUGUAAAAUGAACACAUUAUUCUCACAUUGAUUAAAAUUGAUUGAAUUGAAUACUUAAAGCAAUAAAAUUGAGUUUGCACACAAAAUGGCACCCCCUGAGCAGAAGGUGGCAGUAACGCUCAAUAAAAAGGACGUCAAUCGCCAUAAAAGAAGAAUAAACAUCGUUUGUUUUGGGCGCCAAAAUGAAGACUCAGCAGCAGUCAGUCAGAAGAACUCUCUCAGACGGACACCACGUUAUUAAAGUCCAUCAUCCUUGCAUGCGCUACACACUCAAAAGCAUUGAUAAAUGCUGAAUUUAAAAGAAUCACUACUGUCUUAUGUUCCUGCGUGUCACCUGGACCUCCAAUCCAAAAACCUGACGAAACUCUUCUAUCAGAAAGGAGGACAGCUAGCAAACAGACUUCAAACAAUGAAUGAUCAAAUGACAGAAGGCAUGAAUGAAGUCAGCAUCAGUGUGGUCAUUUGAAGACACCACUGUUGGGAUUUGUGCUCUCAAACAACAUGCUUCUUGUGAUGAAGAAGAGGAUCUUUGUAUAGUCCUGGAAGGCAUGAAGGUGUUGCAACAUCGUGCCAUGUUGUUUGAGCUGAUGUAUGCCUUAAACCUGAGCUAUCCUGAUCUCUGCUUUAUUUUUGAAGAAAUCCAAAAGAUUUUAAUGGAACUGCAUUGAGCGUAACUUUUAACGAACAGUUUCUUUCAGUGAAAGGAUCAGAAAGACUGUGCUGCUCAUUUAUGUUCUUUUUAUUUAUCUGUUUUAAGCGUUUUUUCUUAUUAAAACAUUAACCAUUGGCUGCUCAAAGUUGAUUUUGGAAAUGGUUGUUGUAUUUUGUUUUUGUUGAAUCUUUGAUUAUCAGUUUAUACAAAUGCUGUAGCUCUGACUUUCUGAAGGAUUGAUAUUUUCCAGUUUGUAAAUCCAUUUAAAAAAUAAUAGUACUUACUGUUUUGCAUGUCUCUUUGGAAUGCAGUGUUUGUGCUUUAGCACUUCUAAAUCUACUGUGAUAGUAACUAUUUUAAACAUUUGGGUCAGUUUUACAGAUGGGGCUUUUUCUAGUCCCAGACUUUUGCAAUGCCUUAAUUUGAAAACAUAUUGCACUGACAUAUCUUGACAUAUAUCAGUGCCAUUGUUUUGUCUCAAGAUGUACUCCAGUGUUGUUUUUGUAAGGUAGGUUUGUUUGUAAACUUUUUUUGUAAAAAAUAUCCUAAUAUAACUAGGGCCUAGUCAUGGAUUAAUCUACAACCUGUUUGGGAAAUUGCCCCUUUGUAUGUACUGCAUGUGCUGAUUGUUGUAAUAGUUAUUGACUGUUGUUAAAUUAAUGUGUAGUGAUUUAAAUGAAUUGAUGAUCUGAAAGCAGUGGUUUGCCUCAAUAUCACUAAACUUUUGUUUAAAACUCUUUGCUUUUUAUGCCAAUGCAAAUGUAUUUUGUAUUUAAAAAAGAAAUAAAUAACAUUUGGAUAAUUA